AAAAGUAGGGGGGCGAAUAGAGACUUCUAACAAAUCAGAAAUCCUAGCGCUAUCAAAAAGUGCCUUAGUAGGACCAUGACCCACAAGGCGAGCAUGCCACCUACGAAAAGCUACAUCAGAUUUAGGCCAAGUGCGAAUACCUCUUUCGCGAAGUGGCCCCAGCGGCAGAGAGUUUAGAAAAGGAGGGCCAUGAGUGCAAGGAAACAGCUGACCCACCGC
rnacentral:lncRNA from 1 species